rnacentral:rRNA from 1 species
CUCAUUAAAUCAGUUAUAGUUUAUUUGAUGGUCUCUUUUGUCUUUUUUUACCUACUUGGAUAACCGUGGUAAUUCUAGAGCUAAUACAUGCGCAAGGUCCCGAGCGCGGGGGGCAGGGCUUCACGGCCCUGUCCUCGCAUGCGCAGAGGGAUGUAUUUAUUAGGUUAAAACCAGCGGCGGGGAGGGUCAGCAAUGGCCCCUGCCAAACACUCCUGGUGAUUCAUAGUAACUCUUUCGGAUCGCAUUCAUG